CCAUCCCUCCACUUUCCAUUCCCCCUCCUAGCUACCUCCCUCUUCCCCAGUUACCACUUGCAUAUAUAUUAUAUAAUGUUCCCCACACUACAUCUAUCUAGCUAGCUAGCUAGUUAAGUGCGUUUUUAGAUUAGCAAAUUAAGUAAUUGAAUUGAGAUGGGGGAUUUGAGGGGUGAAUUGGAGGUGGAAGUAGAGCUCAAGUCUCCGGCUGACAAGUUCUAUGAUGUGUUCAAGGGUAAGGUGCACCACCUGCCUAAUUGCACCCAGAGGAUUUAGGAUGUCAAGCUCCAUGAAGGCGAGUGGCACUCUCAUGGUGCCGUCAAGCAUUAGACCUAUGUCCUCCCCGACAGAAAAGUGGAGAGUGGAAAAGAAAAGUUCUAUAUAGACGAAGAGAGUAAAAUGCUGAAGUUUGAGUUCUUUGAAGGAGACCCAAUGAAGGACCUCAAAGUGUACAACGGAAUACUGAAGGUGAGUCCCAAGGGCGACAAAGGUGGAGUGGCGCACUGGACCUUGGAGUACGAGCGAUGCAGCCCAUCCAUCCCUCCCCCUCACCACUACCUCGACUUUGUCGUACAUCUCACCAAAGAACUCGAUGCUGCUCUCGCCAGCGCUUAAUUCUCUUCUCCAUCUAUAUAUAUUAAUCCAUUUACCUCCUCGAUCAUUUCCAUCCACAUCUAUUCCAUAUGUAAUAAACUCCCUCUCUCUUAAUAUAUAUAUGAGUGUAUGCAGUAAAAGGGAGUUGUUAUUGGCAUAUAUAUAUAUAUAUAUAUAUAUAUAUAUAUAUAUAUGCAUGUUAUAUUAUGUAUAUAUGUGUGUUUUCAAUACCCCACUGCAGGGUGUCUUAAGCUUUUCUUUUGUACUUUAUGAUUUGACCUGAUGGGUCGUCUGUCAUGCCUGUCUGGCCAGUUCAAUUGAAUGGUCUGGUUUGUUUAAUAAAAGCUCUAGUUCAAUAA